GGCUGUUCCGAGUGCAGUGGUGUUUACAACUAAUUGAUCAUAACCAGUUACAGAUUUCUUUGUUCCUUCUCCCCUCCCACUGCUUCACUUGACUAGCCUAAA
ensembl:misc_RNA Y_RNA Y RNA